rnacentral:tRNA from 1 species
GCGGAUAUAGUUUAAUGGCAGAAUGCAAGCUUCCCAAGCUUGAAAUGCGGGUUCGAUUCCCGUUAUCCGCU